GAACUGAUUAGAAGCUUGCUUCUAUGACGUUAGCGGCGGACGGGUGAGUAACACGUGGGCAACCUGCCUGUAAGACUGGGAUAACUCCGGGAAACCGGAGCUAAUACCGGAUAACAUUUUUCUUGCAUAAAAAAAUUGAAAGAUGGUUUCGGCUAUCACUUACAGAUGGGCCCGCGGUGCAUUAGCUAGUUGGUGAGGUAACGGCUCACCAAGGCAACGAUGCAUAGCCACCUGAGAGGGUGAUCGGCCACACUGGGACUGAGACACGGCCCAACUCCUACGGGAGGCAGCAGUAGGGAAUCUUCCGCAAUGGACAAAGUCUGACGGAGCAACGCCGCGUGAGUGAUGAAGGCUUUCGGGUCGUAAAACUCUGUUGUUAGGGAAGAACAAGUACAAGAGUAACUGCUUGUACCUUGACGGUACCUAACCAGAAAGCCACGGCUAACUACGUGCCAGCAGCCGCGGUAAUA
rnacentral:rRNA from 1 species